rnacentral:rRNA from 1 species
AAUGAACGCUGACAGAAUGCUUAACACAUGCAAGUCUACUUGAUUCUACUUCGGUAGUUGAUGGUGGCGGACGGGUGAGUAACGCGUAAAGAAUCUGCCCUUUAGUUUGGGAUAACCUUUGGAAACGAAGGCUAAUACCGGAUAUUAUGGAGACGUCGCAUGGCGACUCCAUGAAAGCUAUAUGCGCUAGAGGAGGACUUUGCGUCCCAUUAGUUAGUUGGUGAGGUAAUGGCUCACCAAGACCGCGAUGGGUAGCCGGCCUGAGAGGGUGAUCGGCCACAAGGGAACUGAGACACGGUCCGUACUCCUACGGGAGGAAGCAGUGGGGAAUAUUGGACAAUGGGCCACAAGCCUGAUCCAGCAAUUCUGUGUGAACGAUGAAGGUCUUCGGAUUGUAAAGUGCUUUCAGUAGGGAAGAAAAAAAUGACGGUACCUACAGAAGAAGCGACGGCUAAAUAUGUGCCAGCCGCCGCAGUAAAAC